UGAGAAGCUUGAAUUUGAAAUCGGACUUCGCAAAUCAUGAAACUAGACCUUUCGAAAUAGAAAAUAGAACAUAGAUGAUGGCAUGAUGGCAUUGAAAUCAAAUGCUCCAACUAGAGCAUUCAUUCAACAAGUUUUAGUAAAGGAAUGGCUUGAGAGCUGCCACAAGGGGGAGCUACUGUCUGCUUUGAAGCAGCACUGGAAGUGUUAUGUACUGGUUGUAUUAGGACAUGGAUAUGACCCUGCCAAAGAGGACCGCCUGGCAGAAAAGUUUCUGUUCCGGCCUAUGGAGUAUUUCCUUUGUAAUGGUGACCCUGAAGUCAAGUUUAAGGAACUGAAGGAAAAGGACUGUCCAGCUCAGCUCUGUGGCAAAGUGUUUAAGUAUGGCGAGCCCACAUACUCAUGCAGGGAUUGUGCCAAUGACCCGACAUGUGUUCUGUGCAUAGACUGUUUCCAAAAAAGUGCUCACAAGAAACACAGAUACAAGAUGAGUACCUCAGGGGGAGGUGGGUACUGUGACUGUGGCGACAGUGAAGCCUGGAAGACCGCACCAUUCUGUAGUAACCACAAGGCUAAACAGCAGGAAACCUCUGGAGGGGAGAACCCUAUGGAGAAGCUGCCAGAUGAGCUAACAGACCGAGCCAGUGCCCUACUGAUGGCCGUGCUGCGUUACACGAUGGAGAUGCUGACAUGGGACCAGUGUGACAACCUGCCCCCAGACCUCCAGCCGGAGGGAGAACUCGAAGACAGCUACAUCACCAUGCUAUUCAACGAUGAAGUUCACACUUACGAACAGGUGAUCGUCGCUCUACAGAGGGCUGUGGAUUGUACCCAGAAAGAGGCUGUCGAGUUCGCUACCACUGUGGACAGAGAGGGAAGAAGCAAUGUGAGGAGUGGCAAUUUUUCUUCUUGUGAAAAAGCUCGCAAUGUAAUAGAGCAUAACACCUCCCGUCAUGGUAACAAGCCCCUGAAGGUACAGGUGAUGCACACUAUCGUGGUAGCCCACCAGGCAUUUGCCUUGAAAGUCAUCCAGUGGUUGCAGACCAUCAUUGCUAAGUCAGAUGGACUACGCCACUUGUUCUGUGUCCUGAGCAUGCAGCCCCAGGAGGACGGCCAGUCUAUCAUGGAGAAGCUCCUUCUGAUUGAUACACAGCUGUGGAAAGUGGCGAGGGUAAACAACCACCAACUUAUCAUGGCAGGUGUGUUAAUGGAUCUGGAGUGUAAAAAACAGUUUGCUAUUCUCUUCACCAAGUGGUACAGACAAUUGAUGAGUGACUUUACACGGGACGAUCAUGACCACGAUGUGUGUGUAGCCUCCCUCUCUGUGCAAAUCUUUACGGUAACCAGUCUGGCACGGAUGUUGGUUACGGAACACAACCUGCUUGAUGUCAUUAUGCAGUCCUUCCUCAAGUGUUGUGAGGAGAAGAAAAAUAACGAGGGGAAGCUGGCUUUUGACCGUGGGGAUAGGAAUCAAGCUUUUAAGAGAGCCUGCUACAUGCUGUAUGAUAUGAAAUAUGCCCUCACCUGUAAACCAUCAGAGGAGGAGUGGACAGAUAAGUUGAGAGAAAAUUUCCUCAAGGGUUUACGAUCUUUCCUGUCUCUUCUCAAAAUGAUGCAGAGUAUGGAUGCAGUCAUCCGACAGACCGGUACCCACCUGGAGUACGAGCCUGAGUGGGAGGGAGCAUUUAACUUACAGCUCAAACAAGAUGAUAUCAUCGCUGAGUUCAUCAACUGGUGUGGCCAGGAUAAAGAAACCCUGAUAGGUGCUUACAAGAUCACCAUGGAGAUUUUGUCACAGUGUAAAGACAAACCAGCAACGGUGAAGCAUAAGUUCAAAACAGUGGCGGGAUUCAAGGCCAAGUGUGUGCAGUACGAUGUGUCUAGUCAACAUGUGUCCAUACACCUCCCACUCACACGGUUCAUGGCAGGACUCCACCUACAUCUUGAGAAGCAUGGUCUCAACUUCAACUCUCCAGAACUGGCCAUGGAUAGUUUGACUCCAGUGGACCUGAUAGAACCACCCCUUCGAGUGCUGGUGAUGAUUGCUCAAACCCAGGCUAACAUGUGGCGCCGCAAUGGAUACGGACUUCUCAACCAGAUAUUUUUCUAUCACAAUGUGAAAUGUCGAAGGGAGAUGUAUGACAAAGAUAUUGUUAUGCUGCAGGUGGGAGCCUCUGUGAUAGACAGCAAUGAAUUCCUGAUUCAUCUACUUAACAAGUUUAAUCUGCUGGCCUGGGCCAAUCCAGAGUAUGAUGUGCCAGGAAGUCAAGAAGACAUGAUUAAACAGACAGUGACUUUAGCAGAGGAAUUCCUCAAUAUCCUCAUCAUUAUCAUAGGCGAGCGCUAUGUGGAGGGCAUUGGUAACGUGACAAGUGAAGACACAGUUCAAAGGGAGAUCAUCCACCAGCUGUGUAUAUCACCCAUGGCCCACAGUGAGCUGUCCAAGGCUCUCCCUGAGGAUAGCAAUCAUGAGACUGGCAUUGAACAGGUUAUCGACCAAGUCUCUACAUUCAAGAAGUCAGCAUCAAACUCUUCAGGGCGAUUUGAACUGAAGAAAGAGUCGUACCAAGAAUAUAGCAAGUACUUCUAUCACUACAGCCGUGCUGAGCAAUCUAAGUCAGAGGAGGCCCAGAUAGAGAGAAAGAAGCAUGAAAAUGAAGGUCAAGCCCUGCCACCUCCAGUCCCCCAGGAAUUUAAGCAGAACUUUCAGCCUAUUACCAACCUUCUUCAGUGCGACUUAAUGCUGUACUUGAUGCACCUGUUACUGCAGAGGACAGCUGCCAAACGGUCAAGAUCUUGGUCAGAGGGACAGCUGGACAGGAUCUUAUAUAUCAUUGGUCUGGCCCUGUUGGAACAGAGGAGAGCUAUCACCGAGGGAGACAACUCAUUCAACUUCUUGUCCAAAGCCCUUGAUGAUGAAAAGAACAUAAUGAGCAUAAUGGAAGGACUGGUUGGCAGUGCCAAUUUGACCCAUGAAUCAACCAAAGAUCUUCUAACAUGGACACUUAAGCUAUUUUUGGAAGUGCGUAAAAUGAAAAAUGACCCCGUCAGUAUGGACACAUUAGACCAACUCUCCAGUUGUACCAACCAAAAUCAUGAUGAAACAAAGAAACUGAAGGCCAAGAUGGCUGCCAAACGACGUGCAAAAAUCAUGGCGCAGAUGUCAACAAUGCAGAAAAACUUUAUCAAAGAAAAUGCCGAGUUAUUCCAGAGUGCUGAAGCUGAACUGAGUCGGACAUCAUCUGAUAUGGACAUUAGUGAUCUCCAGAGUGGAGGCUUCCCCGUGGCUCUGGGAAAGAAGAGGAGUAAGGUGGUCAGUCCUGUUCCCUGUAAAGGAAUGUGUAUUUUGUGUCAGGAAGAACAGGAAAUCAAACACAGUGGCCGUGCAAUGGUCCUGGCAGCAUUCGUACAGAGGUCUACGGUGCUAUCCCAGUGUCGGAGUAAGGUUAUAUCUAAGGAAGACAACCAUGACUACCUGUUCAGUCCUUCUGAUCUCACUACAGGCACUUACACUAGCUCCUGUGGCCAUGUGAUGCAUUUUGACUGUUGGCAGAGGUUUUUCGAUGCCGUGGUGAUGAAGGAGAGGAGGCGGCCAAUACGGUUCCGUUCCAACCUGAGUUAUAACAUCGACCAGAAUGAGUUCCUGUGCCCUCUCUGUGAAAGUAUAAGCAACACUGUGAUACCUGUUGUUCCUUCUCUACCUUCUCUUAUCCAAGACAGCAAUAAAGAUAAUGUAAACCUGACAUUCAAUGACUGGCUGGACGGUCUACAUAAAUCUGUUCAAAGUAGUAGAAAGGACAAGGAGGACAAGGAGGCCAAAGACAUGGUCGCCUAUGAGUUUGAGCCUUCUCCUCUACAUGCAAUAACCAAGAUGAUGGCUGAGAGUGUGGCCAUUAACUUCAAGCUUCUGUGGCAGACGUUCCAAAACGACAGUACCCUAUUUGCUCAAAGUUUGACUGAUAUGGUGAAGAAGUUUGGCAGGGAUGUCUACUCGUUUGGUUUGAAUGUGGAACCUGAUGAUGGAAAUGUGAGAGUACCUCUCAUAGCUUGGUCAUCUUGUGCCUUCACUUUACAGUCCAUAGAACAACAGCUCAACAUGGAAGAGAAACCCCUGUUUGGAUCACUGUCCUCACGCCAGUCUGACUGCCUCGCCUCUCUUAUCAAGUUCGCCUGUGUCUUCAGUCAAGUGAUCCCUCAGGACCUAGUCAAGCAGCACUGCCUACGACUGCUUUCUGCUCUAAUGCCUGAGAAAGAGAAGAAAAGGAAGGAUGGCCAGAGUUUACUGGACAUUGACAUGUUUGACUACCUGCUGACCUUGACUGUGACCUUGCCGUCACUGUAUGCAGAUAGUCGGGUUCCUUCUAUGAGUUCUAUACCUACAGGCGGGCUGGGGGAUCAUCACACCCUCCAGCUGGUGCUGACUGCUCAUAUAGUCCAGAUAAUGCUCACCUGUGAUAUACCCUCUCAAGGAAUGAUGGAGAUAGAAGCUGAUAGCGAAGGUGAAGCCUUACUCAGGAUCUACACUCAUAUCAGGAAAGAGGCUAAGAUGGAAGGAGAGAACCAACCUCAACCCUGGCAACUCAGCCAGUACCUACGGAAAGCAUGUCUGCCAUUCCUGCGAUGUGCAGCCCUACUGUAUCGACAGAUCACAGAGGUACCAGCUCCCAGCAGUCUUCAAGAGUUGGAGGAUGAUGAGUUUGAGCCACUCUGUCGUUACCUGGCUCUCCCUCAACACUUGUCUACGCUGUUUGAAAGUCAGGGAGAUAUCAUCAACAGCUUGGUCAAACAGUGGUGCCACAAUGACAAUAUUGGCAGUCAGAUGAUGACGGCCAGCAGUGAGAAGGUCGUCUGUUACCCACUUAAAGUUAACCGGUUGGUCACGCUGCCUGAGGAUUACAGUGAACUCAUCAACGAGGUCUCAUCUUUCACCUGCCCCAAGUCUGAUGGUGAUGAGAGUCGAGCACCCACUAUGUGCCUGGUGUGUGGUAAGAUGCUGUGUUCUCAAAGCUAUUGCUGUCAGGCUGAUGUGGAUGGAACCACAUGUGGAGCUGCUACAGAACACACAGUUUCAUGUGGUGCCGGCAUUGGAAUAUUUCUCAGGGUGAGAGAAUGUCAGAUUCUACUUCUGGCAGGUAAAUCUAAAGGCUGUUUUGUACCAUCUCCUUACCUGGACGUGUAUGGGGAAACAGAUCAGGGUCUCAGGCGUGGGAAUCCUCUGACGUUGUGUAGGACGAGUUAUAAAGCCCUGGAGAAACUCUGGUUCACCCACUCCAUCCCAGAGACUAUAGCUCACAACCUGGAAUCUCACAGUAACCUCCUCACCAUUGACUGGCAGCAUCUAUGACGGCUGUGAUUUAGAUAUUGGAUUGUUUGACUCUCUUCUUCCGUGUACUGCUCAGGACUGUAUCGGUGACCUUCAAUGAACCAAUGCCCACUGAAAAUUUGUGAUCAUUUAUAUGGUAUAUUGGUUUGUGGCACCUCGUAACUGCUACGGAAUUUCUGAGAUGCAGUACGUAUACCCUUUAGGGAUGUUUGACAUUUGACAGCUAAUGCCUGCAGUGAUAAAAAUAAAUCACCGGAAGUUUUGCUUAUUGAUAUUUUCGCUAGCGAUUUCUACCUCUAUUUAAAGGGACAACUGGUACAUUUUGUUCUAGACACACACAGUAAUCACUGAUACUGUAUUGAAUGUUUUGGUAUUGGUAGUCCUUACCUGGUAGUUGGUAGACGGCCAAUAUUUAUACAUACCAACUCUGGGUAAAUAUGCAUGUAUAGUGGGUGAAUAAGCACGAAUAAAUACAUGCCACACAAAUUUAAGAGAUUAAUUAAUAUAACUGAGUUCUUUUAAUUUCUUUUACCACAGUAUAGUACACUGUGAUAUUUAACUAUUUAUCACACUUCAUACCACAAUACACCUAGAACAAUAUCUGUGACUUUGACUAUUGUUGAUUUAUGCAGAAGUCUACUUGAUAUGAUAGGAAUUCAAUAGAAAUUUAGUUUUUGUUUGUUUAUUUGCAUACCUGCUUUGCCUUGAUAUAUUGAUUUCUGGAAAUUGUGGAGCAUAUAUGUACACAGCAUAAUACAUAUAUAGUGCAUAACUUUGUAUCAGUCCUCUGUGAAGAACUGGUAAUGCUGCACGCCUAAAGAUACUACAUGAAGUGAGCAGUCAUUAAUUAACGAUGUUCGUAAAAAGAUUAACUUAUUGAUUAAUUAAAGUUAUGUAAUAUGGGUAAUACAUAUUAGGUGGCAUAGUACCUACUUCAGGUAUUGUGAGAAAUAGGAAAAUUGUUCUGUUUAUUUCAUUGUAAUGGAAGCCUAUUAUUAAUUUGUCUUUGGCUUUAUAAUAAUAAAUUGGUAUCUCUUGGAGUUGAACAGAGUGCUGAGAGGGUGUGCACUUCUGGGGAACUGUGAUACGGGCCGGGACAUAUACCAAUAUAAUAAAGGGACACUUUUGGAGAAUAUAGGUAUGGCCAGGGACCUACACCGAGACAAUGGAGGGACCCAAAGGGGAGUAGAGGUACAGGCAGGGACCUACACCCAGACAAUGGAGGGACCCUAAGGGGAGAAGAGGUACAGGCAGGGACCAACUCCCAGACAAUGGAGGGACCCUAAGGGGAGUAGAGGUACAGGCAGGAACCUAUAUCCAGGCAAUGGAGAGAACCUAAUGAGGAAUAGAGGGCAGGGACCUACACCCAGACGGGGAAUACACAGGCUAGGGUUGUGUACUGUUACAGCACAGAUAGACUUGCUGGAAUCCACACUGAUAUUCUAUACUGCACUUCAAUCUAGAAAUAACUUGUAACCCUAGUACCCUGUAAUUGGACUAUACUUUAAAAGUGUAAAACAACAAUAACUAUGUAAGUUGUAUGAACAUGUUAUUGCUAUCAUGACAUCAUGUGUUACUUUUUGCCAAUAUUUGUAAUUUAUCUUUAGUCUAAUUUUACGUUUUGCAAUUUCGUAGAUAUCAAUAUUUGAUAAAUCAAUGAUAGUAAAUGAAAUCAAUUAUGUGGAUUCUGGUAACCUGUCAAUAUUUGAAAGAACAACCUGGAAUGUUUUGCCCCAUUUGUACUCCCGAGUUUACCACUAAGAUUGUUUUAUCUCGAAGACACAAUAACUCAGGACUUGUGUGUGUUAUACCAUGGCACUGUGCAAAUUGUGGCCCGAAAUUAUCACUGAAUCUGUUUACUUCUUCUACAUAUUACUCUGGAAUUUGGUGUGUUAUGCUUGGUUCUGUGCUAGCUGUGACCACAGACAUAACACCCAAUAAUUUAUGAGAUUUAGCCCUUCAGUUUAUCACAAAGGUCACUAUAUCUCAGGACAUAGAUUCAUUUUAAGUGCUAUUUUGUCUUUACCAUAGUGCAUUAUUUGAGUUACUUGUACAUGCCACUAAUGUUUGUUAUAUUCGUGAACUUCAUGUACUAAAUCAUAUAUAUUGGACUUGGGGACUUGAAUAUUUUUGUUUGUUUGAACUCUUAUUUUAGGGUGCUUUGUUUAAGAUAGUCUUGAUAAGUUAAACAGUUUUGGUUACUGAGAAACUCUACAACAAAAGUAAGUGAAAAUGUGGAGUUAAUUCCUAUGUUAAGGUUAAGCGAUUCAGAUUCAAUGUACAGGUAUGUCUGACUGGCCUUAGAGAGCCCUUUUCUUUGUCAAUUCAGUUUGGCACAAGAGUGCCCCUGCAGACUCCCAGACCCUCCAGUCCUUUAGACACCAGAGAGCUCUUUGAAAAUUAUCUUGUUUGUUUUUUAAAUGCGUCAUCAAAAUUCAGAUAAGUAUUCCCAAAUAUUUAACGACAGUAUGAAAGAAAAACAUUCUUUCAAAUCCCAGAUAGAGUCAGAAUGAGUAUCACUUAAAGCGGGACUCGGGGAUGUUUGAAUAAAGGAAAGAAAGAGAAAUUCAGUGAUAAAAUCGCUGGAAAGAAAAGUGCUUUUCUCCACAGUGGUUUGUUUAACAAAAAAUGUGCCAAAUUAAAAGUUAAAUAAUAUAAAAAAGUAAAGUACAUCAAAUGACCAAAGAGAAUGCCAAUCAUUGGGUGUAACUCAAAGUGAUCCAUAUAAAUAACCUCAAUGAUGUUCACUGUAUUCUGAAACUGCCAUUAUCCGUCACAGAUGUUUAUACUUAUUUUGUAGUUUCAACCAACUCUCUAUAUGAACGUAAAACUAGAAGUAGAAACAUCUCACUUUUAGGAAUAUAUAUACAUGUAAUAACAUUAUCAAGCUUGAAUUAUGUAAUCUAUAGAUGCUUCUUCAUUUUGGUUCGGUUUCUUGAAACAUCUGAACAUUUACCCCCCUAUUAUUCUGAUGUAAUCUAAAGCAUGUUUGUGACACCAAGGCCUUGUACUACCAUGAUGUUAUAGAGUCAGAUCCAUGUAACAGGUUAGGUAACUUUCCAGUCAGUGAAUGAAAGUGCCCUCUUGGCUAUCCUAAUACAUUUAAAAGCCGAGGAAUAUGCAUGUGUGUAUUGAAUUUAAUUUAUUUUUAAAGAAAUAUUGUUUUAAUGAUUAUGUUGUUAAAUGAUAUGGACAAUAAACUGCAGUACAAUUUCUCUGACUAUUUCUGGUAGGGCGGUGCACACUGUUUUAUCACAUGCUGUGAAGCCUGUUAGUGUGAAUUUUAAAUGGGGAUGGAAGUGUUGGAGAUUGAAUUAAGUGCUGGUCCCCACUAGCAGGACUGGAGUAGGCUCUGACUACUAGGAUUGAAGCACAUGUUAAGGUUGCGUUUGUUUACUUAAAAAGCGUGGGCCUACUAUUAUUAUGUUAUAUGAGAAUACAGUGUUGUAGGUUACAUGUGUACAUAUUAAACUAUGCCUUUAUUAUGGCUUCCUC
rnacentral:misc_RNA from 1 species